UGAAAAUGGUUUCGGCGUUGCUUCAGGA
rnacentral:piRNA from 1 species